rnacentral:rRNA from 1 species
AGGACGAACGCUGGCGGCGUGCUUAACACAUGCAAGUCGAACGGUAAGGCCCUUCGGGGUACACGAGUGGCGAACGGGUGAGUAACACGUGGGUGAUCUGCCCUGCACUUCGGGAUAAGCUUGGGAAACUGGGUCUAAUACCGGAUAUGACUACGAAUCGCAUGGUUUGUGGUGGAAAGCUUUUGCGGUGUGGGAUGGGCCCGCGGCCUAUCAGCUUGUUGGUGGGGUGAUGGCCUACCAAGGCGACGACGGGUAGCCGGCCUGAGAGGGUGUCCGGCCACACUGGGACUGAGAUACGGCCCAGACUCCUACGGGAGGCAGCAGUGGGGAAUAUUGCACAAUGGGCGCAAGCCUGAUGCAGCGACGCCGCGUGAGGGAUGACGGCCUUCGGGUUGUAACCUCUUUCAGUAUCGACGAAGCGCAAGUGACGGUAGGUACGAGAAGAAGGACCGGCCAACUACGCGCCAGCAGCCGCGGUA